GUCGGAUUAGCUAGUUGGUAGGGUAACGGCCUACCAAGGCGACGAUCCGUAGCUGGUCUGAGAGGACGAUCAGCCACACUGGGACUGAGACACGGCCCAGACUCCUACGGGAGGCAGCAGUGGGGAAUCUUGGACAAUGGGGGAAACCCUGAUCCAGCAAUGCCGCGUGUGUGAAGAAGGCCUUCGGGUUGUAAAGCACUUUCGAUAGGGAAGAAAAGCUGGUUGUGAAUAACAGCCGGUCUUGACGUUACCUAGAGAAGAAGCACCGGCUAACUCUGUGCCAGCAGCCGCGGUAAUACAGAGGGUGCAAGCGUUAAUCGGAAUUACUGGGCGUAAAGCGCGCGUAGGCGGUUCGAUAAGUCGGGUGUGAAAGCCCCGGGCUCAACCUGGGAAUGCCAUUCGAUACUGUCGAGCUAGAGUAUGGUAGAGGAAAGCGGAAUUCCACAUGUAGCGGUGAAAUGCGUAGAUAUGUGGAGGAACAUCAGUGGCGAAGGCGGCUUUCUGG
rnacentral:rRNA from 1 species